UACGGAGGGGGCUAGCGUUGUUCGGAAUUACUGGGCGUAAAGCGCACGUAGGCGGACCAGAAAGUUGGGGGUGAAAUCCCGGGGCUCAACCCCGGAACUGCCUUCAAAACUGCUGGUCUGGAGUUCGAGAGAGGUGAGUGGAAUUCCGAGUGUAGAGGUGAAAUUCGUAGAUAUUCGGAGGAACACCAGCGGCGAAGGCGGCUCACUGGCUCGAUACUGACGCUGAGGUGCGAAAGCGUGGGGAGCAAACAGG
rnacentral:misc_RNA from 1 species